rnacentral:rRNA from 2 species
CUCCUGGGAAGUCCUUGUGUUGCACCCC